CAGUACCGUGAGGGAAAGGUGAAAAGAACCCCGGGAGGGGAGUGAAAUAGUACCUGAAACCGUGUGCCUACAAGGUGUGGGAGCGGCCUUGUGCCGUGACCGCGUGCCUUUUGUAGAAUGAGCCGGUGAGUUACCGUCGGGAGCAAGGUUAAGGCCGACAGGCCGAAGCCGUAGCGAAAGCGAGUCUUAAAAGGGCGAACUAGUUUCCGGCGGCAGACGCGAAACCUGGUGACCUAGCCAUGGGCAGGUUGAAACGACCGUAAAAGGUUGUGGAGGACCGAACCCACAAGAGUUGAAGAUCUUGGGGAUGACCUGUGGCUAGCGGUGAAAAGCCAAUCGAACCAGGAGAUAGCUCGUUCUCCCCGAAAUAGCUUUAGGGCUAGCCUCGCGUGAUAAGUGACGGUUGUAGAGCACUGAUUGAGCUAGGGGGCUUACCAGCUUACCAAACUCACUCAAACUCCGAAGGCCGUUACUCGUAUCGCGGGAGUCAGACUGCGGGGGCUAAGCUCCGUAGUCGAGAGGGAAACAGCCCAGACCGACAGCUAAGGUCCCUAAAUCCGUGCUAAGUGGGAAACGAUGUGGGAGUACCCAGACAGCCAGGAGGUUGGCUUAGAAGCAGCCAUUCCUUUAAAGAGUGCGUAACAGCUCACUGGUCAAGUGCUCCUGCGCGGAAAAUGUAACGGGGCUCAAGCACGGUACCGAAGCUUCGGAUUCCUUUGGGAAUGGUAGGGGAGCAUUCCGUCGUAGGUCGAAGGCGGACCGCGAGGUCCGCUGGACGAAACGGAAGUGAGUAUGCCGGCACGAGUAGCGAUAAAAAGGGUGAGAAACCCUUUCGCCGUAAGCCUAAGGUUUCCUGGGGAAGGUUAAUCCGCCCAGGGUUAGUCGGCCCCUAAGGCGAGGCCGAAAGGCGUAGCCGAUGGGUAGCAGGUCAAAUAUUCCUGCACCAGCAACGUGCGCCCGAGCGAUGGGGUGACGCAGGAGGGUAGGCCGGCCACCGGACGGAAGUGGUGGUUUAAGCCCGUAGGGGGAAGGCUUUGGAAAAUCCGGGCCUUCUCAACCCCGAGAGGUGAUGACGAUGGGAGAAAUCCCUUCAAGCGGCUAAGCCCACGCUGCCUGGAAAAACCUCUAGCGAGCACGUUUCUGACCGUACCGCAAUCCGACACAGGUAGGCGAGGAGAGAAUCCUAAGGCGCUCGAGAGAACUCUGGUCAAGGAACUCGGCCAAGUGACCCCGUAACUUCGGGAGAAGGGGUGCUCCCAACCGUGACGGGACUAGCUCCCCGAGCGGAUGGGAGUCACAGAAAAUCGGCCCAGGCGACUGUUUACUAAAAACACAGGUCUCUGCUAAGGCCUAAAGCCGACGUAUAGGGACUGACGCCUGCCCGGUGCCGGAAGGUUAAGAGGAGGGGUUAGCCGAAGAUUUCUUCGGCGAAGCCCUGAAUUGAAGCCCCGGUAAACGGCGGCCGUAACUAUAACGGUCCUAAGGUAGCGAAAUUCCUUGUCGGGUAAGUUCCGACCCGCACGAAUGGCGCAACGACUUGGGCACUGUCUCGACCAGAGACUCGGCGAAACUGUAUUACCGGUGAAGAUGCCGGUUACCCGCGACUGGACAGAAAGACCCCGUGGAGCUUUACUGCAGCUUGAUGUUGGGUUCUGGUGCAUCCUGUGUAGGAUAGGUGGGAGGCAAUGAAGCGCGGGCGCCAGCCCGCGUGGAGCCAUCCUUGAAAUACCACCCUGGGUGUAUCGGCAUUCUAACCUUGGCCCGUUAGCCGGGUCGGGGACAGCGUCUGGCGGGCAGUUUGUCUGGGGCGGAUACCUCCCAAAAUGUAACGGAGGUGCCCUAAGGUCGCUUCAGCGCGUAUGGAAAUCGCGUGGCGAGUGUAAAGGCAAAAAGCGGCUUAACUGCGAGAGAGACAUCUCAAGCAGAUGCGAAAGCAGGGCUUAGUGAUCUUGUGGUCCCGAGUGGAAGGGCCAUGACUUAUCGGACAAAAGUUACCCCGGGGAUAACAGGCUUAUAGCGCCCGAGCGUCCACAGCGACGGCGCUGUUUGGCACCUCGAUGUCGGCUCGCCGUAUCCUGGGGCUGCAGGUGGUCCCAAGGGUUGGGCUGUUCGCCCAUUAAAACGGCACGCGAGCUGGGUUUAGAACGUCGUGAGACAGUUCGGUCCCUAUCCGUCGUGGGUGUUGGAAGCUUGAGGAGAGCUGCCCCUAGUACGAGAGGAUUGGGGUGGACGAACCUCUAGUGUACCGGUUGUCGCGCCAGCGGCACCGCCGGGUAGCUAUGUUCGGAAAGGAUAAGCGCUGAAAGCAUCUAAGCGCCAAGCCAACUCCAAAACCAGGCUUCCCGGGGACUUUGAGCCCCCUGAAGGCGCCUCGCAGACUACGAGGUUGAUAGGACGCUGGUGUAAGUACCGUGAGGUAUUCAGCCUAGCGUUACUAAUACGCCGUGAGGCUUGACC
rnacentral:rRNA from 1 species